GAGGCUGAAUCAGGAGACAAGGGCCAGAAAGGAGAAAUGGGUGAUCCAGGACAAAGAGGACUCCAAGGACCACAUGGUUUCAAGGGAAGCUUAGGACUACCAGGUCCAAAGGGAGAGCCCGGCCCAGAGGGUAAAGAAGGUCCUCGUGGACUCAUCGGACUCCCAGGGAUUGCAGGAGAGACGG